AUUGAACGCUGGCGGCAGGCCUAACACAUGCAAGUCGAACGAGUGGCGGACGGGUGAGUAAUGUCUGGGAAACGGCCCGAUGGAGGGGGAUAACUACUGGAAACGGUAGCUAAUACCGCAUACCAUCGGAUGUGCACAGAUGGGAUGAGCUAGUAGGUGGGGUAACGGCUCACCUAGGCGACGAUCCCUAGCGGGUCUGAGAGGAUGACCAGACACACUGGAACUGAGACACGGUCCAGACGCCUACGGGAGGCAGCAUUGGGGAAUAUUGCACAAUGGGCGCAAGCCUGAUGCAGCAAUGCCGUGUGUAUGAAGAAGGCUUUCGGGUUGUAAAGUACUUUCGGCGAGGAGGCGUUACUCGCAGAAGAAGCACCGGCUAACUCCGUGCCAGCCGCCGCGGUAAUUC
rnacentral:rRNA from 1 species